rnacentral:rRNA from 1 species
UACGGAGGAUGCAAGCGUUAUCCGGAAUGAUUGGGCGUAAAGCGUCUGCAGGUGGCAGUUCAAGUCUGCUGUCAAAGACCGGGGCUUAACUUCGGAAAGGCAGUGGAAACUGAACAGCUAGAGUAUGGUAGGGGCAGAGGGAAUUCCUGGUGUAGCGGGUGAAAUGCGUAGAGAUCGGGAAGAACAUCGAUGGCGAAGGCGGCCUGCUGGGCUGUUGCUGACGCUGAGGCGCGACAGCGUGGGGAGCAAACGGG